UUUAUUUUGGCUCAAGGUUUCAGAGGGUUCAGUCCAUCAAUAGUCUACUGGCUCCAAAACAGAAAUGGCAUGGAGGGAGGGCAUGCCCCAGGAAUGCUGCUCAACUCAUGGCAGCCAGGAAACAGAGAGUGAGAGAAGAGGAAGUGGGGUAGAAUACACUCCUCCAGGCUGCACCCCCAGGGACCACUGCCAACCAAACCCCACUUCCUAAAAGCACAACCAGCUACUGGACUCAUCAGUGGAUGAAUCCGCUGGUGACAACAGCACUAACUUUCAAGGCAGUAGGAGUUGUCACAAUACUUAAAAUAAAAAUGAAACGAUGCUGUGUUUUACUCGGUGUAAAAAACAUAGGAACAUUUGCUUCCAUAGAACAUGAGUUGUUGGCAUUUUCUGAACAAUUCCAGAUAGUGUUUUGCUAAAAGGAUUAAGUAGGAGAAAAAGUUUUUAAUGCCAAGGAAUUUAAUUUGUUUGAAGUGAUGACUCAUAGAAUUACUACUAGUUGAAUUUUAAAAUACAUUUUAUGUUACUUUUUACCCUAAUCUUCUGUUUUCUACCAAGCCUCGAUCUUGCGAAUUCUGAGUUUGCUGACAACACCAACUUCAGCUUUUGAAGGAGAAGAGACCGUGUCCCUGUGAACUGUGAGUUCAUUCUCUCCUGCCCACCUGAUGUCGGGCUGUGGGCUCCAGAGCAAGAAGAGGAUACACGGAGGCAGCGGUGGGCCUCCCUGCACCCCUGAGCCCUACGCUUCCUCCUCCCCGCUUCAUCAAGAGGAUCCAGAUGCAUCGAGUCACAACCCCAGCGGCUUCCUACUCAUUUCAGAGGAAGCGCAGGAAAGGAAAGUCAGCCGGCAGCAGGGGGCGCCCGCGUCUCGCUCUCAGCUUCCUCCGGGCGUCCUGGAGCCCGGCUCAGCUCCAGCAAAGGCGGGAGAGCGCUGAGGCCCUGCACAUCCAUCCAGUCCCCACCAGCCACCUCUCCCCAAGGUCCCGAGAAGUGGGACUUGGAGAAGUGGGCUGAGUGCUUCGCCCGCACUGCGCCACCGUCCUUGGCCUCGACCCAGCGUGGGCCACCGGGCCUUUCAACGGGUGGCUGGAGAAAAGUGGAUGCCGUUGAGGGAAAGGGACGCGAGCCUCCGCCAGGGGGCGCCGGGGAGCAGAGCAGCCUGGUCCCCCAGGCCUGCUUUUCUUUACCCAUCUGACUCUGCGCACCUCACUUCUCUUUUUUCUCUUUCUUUAGCUGUUUUUUUCCCCCUCAUUACCUGGGCAGAGGAGUCACAGAGAGCCUUAGACCUCCUAUGCAUACGCUGUAGACCUUCGCAUCCUCGUCCUCCAGGCAGCCUACCUGUGACAGGGUGCAGCAGCCCAAAGCCUGGAGAGUGGGGGGCAAAAUAAGUGGACAGGUGCUGGCAUCUCACUCAAUGGUCCCCACCCACCACAGGGAAGCAAGAGACAGUCCGGGGACCGGUGGGGCCUCAAUUUCCUCGUUUAAAACGGCCUCGGCAAGUUAGAUUGAACACUGCAUUAAAUGCACUUAAGCAUUUAACUUUGUGAGGAUAAAAUAUGUGUGCAGAAGCUUUUGAAAAACUCCAAGAAAUCACUGCCUCUUGAUAUCCAUGCCCCUGUAUAAGCCUUUUCAUUGGAUUGUGGGCCGGGCCUGGGGGCUCUAGCAAAUAGAAGGGAGGAUGGAAAAAGACAAUGAAUAUAUACAUUUAAAAAAUGUAUUGCAGGUAAAGAUGCAUCGCCAUGAAUUACCCUCAAAAUACCCACUCCCUGCUUUGAACACACUUUAUCCCAUUGUUCUUGCCACUUUCUGAAACAGUUCUGAGCGUUCUCUUUCAUGAGUGUCUUUAUGAGAUGUGAUUAAAAAAAUACAAUGAAUGUGUUUCCUGAGUGCCAUGCAACAGAAAGGGAGGCUCAUGAAAAUGUGACGGUGCAUCCUUAUUCACUGGAUCUGGCACUGUGU